rnacentral:rRNA from 1 species
UACGUAGGGUGCGAGCGUUAAUCGGAAUUACUGGGCGUAAAGCGUGCGCAGGCGGUUUGUUAAGCCAGAUGUGAAAGCCCCGGGCUCAACCUGGGAACUGCGUUUGGUACUGGCAAGCUAGAGUACGGCAGAGGGGGGUGGAAUUCCACGUGUAGCAGUGAAAUGCGUAGAUAUCAUUUGGAACGCCAAUGGUGAAAACAGCUCGCUGGGGGUUUGCUGACGCUGAGACACGAAAGCCAGGGGAGCGAACGGG